ACACAUGCAGUCGAGCGGCAGCGACAACAUUGAACCUUCGGGGGAUUUGUUGGGCGGCGAGCGGCGGACGGGUGAGUAAUGCCUGGGAAAUUGCCCUGAUGUGGGGGAUAACCAUUGGAAACGAUGGCUAAUACCGCAUGAUAGCUUCGGCUCAAAGAGGGGGACCUUCGGGCCUCUCGCGUCAGGAUAUGCCCAGGUGGGAUUAGCUAGUUGGUGAGGUAAGGGCUCACCAAGGCGACGAUCCCUAGCUGGUCUGAGAGGAUGAUCAGCCACACUGGAACUGAGACACGGUCCAGACUCCUACGGGAGGCAGCAGUGGGGAAUAUUGCACAAUGGGCGCAAGCCUGAUGCAGCCACGCCGCGUGUAUGAAGAAGGCCUUCGGGUUGUAAAGUACUUUCAGCAGUGAGGAAGGGAGUAUCGUUAAUAGCGGUAUUCUUUGACGUUAGCUGCAGAGGAAGCACCGGCUAACUCCGUGCCAGCAGCCGCGGUAAUACGGAGGGUGCGAGCGUUAAUCGGAAUUACUGGGCGUAAAGCGCAUGCAGGUGGUUUGUUAAGUCAGAUGUGAAAGCCCGGGGCUCAACCUCGGAAUUGCAUUUGAAACUGGCAGGCUAGAGUACUGUAGAGGGGGGUAGAAUUUCAGGUGUAGCGGUGAAAUGCGUAGAGAUCUGAAGGAAUACCGGUGGCGAAGGCGGCCCCCU
rnacentral:rRNA from 1 species